rnacentral:rRNA from 1 species
CCUACGGGAGGCAGCAGUGGGGAAUAUUGCGCAAUGGGCGAAAGCCUGGCGCAGCGACGCCGCGUGAGGGAUGAAGGUCUUCGGAUCGUAAACCUCUGUCAGCAGGGAAGAACGGUCACUGUGCUAAUCAGCAGUGAAUUGACGGUACCUGCAAAGGAAGCACCGGCUAACUCCGUGCCAGCAGCCGCGGUAAUACGGAGGGUGCGAGCGUUAAUCGGAAUUACUGGGCGUAAAGCGCUCGUAGGCGGUAUGUCAAGUCAGCGGUAAAAUUGCGGGGCUCAACCCCGUCGAGCCGUUGAAACUGG